GAAUCAAAGACCCAAACAUUACCUAUUACAAGCCAUAUUGCAAAAACUAUUUCCAGCGUCUGACAUUUGUUCAUCAGAUGUGAGCACCUCAAUAAACUAUAUAAAAAUCAGUGGACAUAAAUGUAACUUCAUGAGUUAUUUAUCAAUUAUCAUUCCCUCAGUUAAUGAAAAAUCAUCAUGAAUAUUUACAUGUUGAACACAAAAGAAGUACAACUUUGUCCCCAUCUUCAAUUAAAUGUUUCACCAUCUUUAACUUAAAAAAGAGAAAAUAUUUCCAAAAGAGAACCCAAAGAUUGCUGCUUCUCAAUGUGUUCUUUUUCACCUGUGGAACCCAAAGAAAAAGAUUACAAAGAAAAAUAUUUUAGAAAUUUAAAGAAAAGUCUGAAAGAAUUUGAGAAGGGGAAGAGGACUCUCCACUGCGUUGAGCAAAGGAAGCAGAAUUUUUGUUUGUUGAAUUUUUGAUUCUGAAAUUUAUGUUGGUUGAGUUUGUUUUGAGAAAAUGGCUGGAGGCAUUCAUGAGAGGAAGAUGGAUAUGGUUGAUAGA
rnacentral:misc_RNA from 1 species